rnacentral:rRNA from 1 species
CCUACGGGUGGCAGCAGUGAGGGAUAUUGGUCAAUGGGGGAAACCCUGAACCAGCAACGCCGCGUGAGGGAAGACGGUUUUCGGAUUGUAAACCUCUGUCUUCUGGGAAGUUGAUGACGGUAGCAGAGGAGGAAGCUCAGGCUAACUACGGGCCAGCAGCCGCGGUAAUACGGAGGGAGCAAGCGUUGUACGGAUUUACUGGGUGUAAAGGGUGCGUAGGCGGCUUUGCAAGUCAGAAGUGAAAUCCAUGGGCUUAACCCAUGAACUGCUUUUGAUACUGCAGAGCUUGAGAGUAGUAGAGGUAGGCGGAAUGUCCGGUGUAGCGGUGAAAUGCGUAGAGAUCAUAAGGAACACCAGUGGCGAAGGCGGCCUGCUGGGCUCUAACUGACGUUGAGGCACGAAAGCGUGGGUAGCAAACAGGAUUAGAUACCCUGGUAGUC